rnacentral:snoRNA from 1 species
AGGCUCCCUUCUCCCUGGGAGGCCACAGCUCUUUUCUUGCCAGGGAGCCAGAAGGGAGCCAUGGCUCCCCCUGGGGACAAGGGAGCCACAUUUGGCUCCCUUGUUCCCGGGGGGAGCCGAAGCU